rnacentral:tRNA from 2 species
CGGGGUGUAGCGCAGUCUGGUAGCGCACCUGAAUGGGGUUCAGGUGGUCGCCGGUUCAAAUCCGGCCACCCCGACCA